UAACACGUAGGUAAUNUGCCCAUCAGACGGGGGCAACGAUUGGAAACGAUCGCUAAUACCGGAUAGGACGAAAGUUUAAAGAUGCUCCUGGCAUCACUGAUGGAUGAGCCUGCGGCGCAUUAGCUAGUUGGUGGGGUAAAGGCCUACCAAGGCGACGAUGCGUAGCCGACCUGAGAGGGUGAACGGCCACACUGGGACUGAGACACGGCCCAGACUCCUACGGGAGGCAGCAGUAGGGAAUCUUCGGCAAUGGGCGAAAGCCUGACCGAGCAACGCCGCGUGAAUGAAGAAGGCCUUCGGGUUGUAAAAUUCUGUUAUAAGGGAAGAAAGGUGAUAGGAGGAAAUGACUAUCAAUUGACGGUACCUUAUGAGAAAGCCACGGCUAACUACGUGCCAGCAGCCGCGGUAAUACGUAGGUGGCAAGCGUUAUCCGGAAUUAUUGGGCGUAAAGAGCGCGCAGGUGGNUAAUUAAGUCUGAUGUGAAAGCCCACGGCUUAACCGUGGAGGGUCAUUGGAAACUGGUUGACUUGAGUGCAGAAGAGGGAAGUGGAAUUCCAUGUGUAGCGGUGAAAUGCGUANAGAUAUGNAGGAACACCNGUGGCGAAGGCGGCUUCCUGGNCUGCAACUGANACUGAGGNGCGAAAGCGUGNGGAGCAAACAGGAUUAGAUACCCCUGGUNGU
rnacentral:rRNA from 1 species